CCCUUCCCCCUGCACAACAUUUAAAAUACGGAAGACCUCUUGGUUGCCAGGCCCAGCCUCCAAGAGGUCUUUUGUAUCUUUAAACAGAUACCUUUCUAACCUCAGUAGAUGGGAAGACCAGAAGAGGAGUCCCCACAGAUGACCUCAAUGGAUGGGCAGCAUCACACAGGAAUGGCUGGUCUUUGAGGGCUUAACAGAGUACCACUAGUAUUUCUUUAUGAGCCUGGAUAUUCCCAAGAAACCAGUGAAGUUGUGUUGGAAUUGCUUUCAUGGAUCAAAUAUCAAAGUGUCAUGACCAAUGAUCAGGAAUAAUGGGGAUUGUAGUCCAGCAACAUCUGGGACUCAAUGGUUGGAAAAGGAUGGUGUAGCGGGCCUUGCCCCUUCUUCCAUCAAUUUUGGCUUUCUCCCCACCCCCAUCCUUACAUGCCUCCAGCACCACCACCCACCUGCAUGAAAUUAGACUGAAGGAGAGGGAGCAAAGGGUUCGCCCUUCCAGAAGGAAACCAGGUUUUCCAUCAAUUCCAGAUCCAAGGAACAACUAUGGGCUCUCCAUAGUCCCUUACAUCCAUUGUUGCACCCAACUUGCAUGGACCCCAAGACAACAAGACCAUACUUUUCCUAUAACCACCCUUUGUAAAACAACAUUGUAAUUGUUUUACAAUACUUGAACCUUCAUCCCACCUUUCAAAUAGCUAGCCCCUUUUUGGAGAAAGUGCAGGAUAUGAAUUUGACAGGCGGACGGUUGGACGGACAGACAGACAGACAUAUUCCUGUGAAGUGGAGUUUGAUGAGGUCACUUGGAAUUAUCUGUUAGAUAUCUCUGGUUCACAUCAGAGUUUCACUUCUGCUGUUAGUUACAGUUUAGCUAUGGGUAACUAUGGAAUAAAAAUCUGAAACCUCAAUACUUAUUCUCAAUGACAGAUAGAAAUGUGGAGAAUCCUAAAGCGAGUCAGAGACUUACAAUGAAGAGGUUCAUCAUUGCAUAGGUCUCUUUGGCAGCAGUGGACCUUUAUCUGGAGGAAUUUACCACCACGUGAAGUGAAGCUGUAGUGCCCUGCACGGCAAGUAUUAUUCGCGACACAUCCAUAGUAAACCGAAGAAGCUGCAUACCCUUUAUCUGCAAGACAAAAAAUGUAAAGAAAUACCAAAAUGUGCAAAAACUUGUAAAAUAGUUGGAAAGAACUAUCAAGAUCUGUAAAAGUU